GAUGAACGCUAGCGGCAGGCCUAACACAUGCAAGUCGAGGGGUAGAAUUAGCUUGCUAAUUUGAGACCGGCGCACGGGUGCGUAACGCAUAUGCAAUCUGCCUUGUACUGAGGGAUAGCCCAGAGAAAUUUGGAUUAAUACCUCAUAGCAUUAUGAAAUCGCAUGGUUUUAUAAUUAAAGUUCCAACGGUACAAGAUGAGCAUGCGUCCCAUUAGUUAGUUGGUAAGGUAACGGCUUACCAAGACGAUGAUGGGUAGGGGUCCUGAGAGGGAGAUCCCCCACACUGGUACUGAGACACGGACCAGACUCCUACGGGAGGCAGCAGUGAGGAAUAUUGGUCAAUGGGCGCAAGCCUGAACCAGCCAUGCCGCGUGCAGGAUGACGGUCCUAUGGAUUGUAAACUGCUUUUAUACGGGAAGAAACACUCCUACGUGUAGGAACUUGACGGUACCGUAAGAAUAAGGAUCGGCUAACUCCGUGCCAGCCGCCGCGGUAAGAC
rnacentral:rRNA from 1 species